rnacentral:snRNA from 1 species
AUCGCUUCUCGGCCUUUUGGCUAAGAUCAAGUGUAGAAUGGAAAGGGAUUCUAUUAAUAAUUAAGCUGGGGCAAAACUGUCCGGGAAAAAGUAAAAUAUAUAUUCAUAUAUUUACCCUUU